rnacentral:rRNA from 1 species
UAAGACGAACCGUGCGAACGUUAUUCGGAAUCACUGGGCUUAAAGGGCGCGUAGGCGGGCUGUCAAGUCUGGGGUGAAAUCCCACGGCUCAACCGUGGAACUGCCUCAGAUACUGACGGCCUCGAGGAAGGUAGGGGCAUGCGGAACUGUAGGUGGAGCGGUGAAAUGCGUUGAUAUCUACAGGAACUCCGGUGGCGAAAGCGGCGUGCUGGACCUUUUCUGACGCUGAGGCGCGAAAGCUAGGGGAGCAAACGGGAUUAGAUACCCCGGUAGUCCUAGCCCUAAACGAUGGGUACUAGAUAGUAGACUCGAUAUAGGUUUACUGUCGAAGCUAAAGUGCUAAGUACCCCGCCUGGGGAGUAUGGUCGCAAGGCUG